CCUACGGGUGGCAGCAGUGGGGAAUAUUGCACAAUGGGGGAAACCCUGAAGCAGCGACGCCGCGUGAGUGAAGAAGUAAUUCGUUAUGUAAAGCUCUAUCAGCAGGGAAGAAAAUGACGGUACCUGAGUAAGACGCCCCGGCUAACUACGUGACAGCAGCCGCGGUAAUACGUAGGGGGCAAGCGUUAUCCGGAUUUACGGGGUGUAAAGGGAGCGUAGACGGCAGUGCAAGUCUGGAGUGAAAGGCGGGGGCUCAACCCCCGGACUGCUCUGGAAACUGUACGGCUGGAGUGCAGGAGAGGUAGGUGGAAUGCAUGGUGUAGCGGUGAAAUGCGUAGAGAGUAGGAGGAACACCAGUGGCGAAGGCGGCUUACUGGACUGUAACUGACGUUGAGGCACGAAAGCGUGGGGAGCAAACAGGAUUAGAUACCCUUGUAGUC
rnacentral:rRNA from 1 species